rnacentral:tRNA from 1 species
UAUAAUCGUAUUGAAAAUGGAAAGAGGUGUACUUAUGGGGUAUACGGAUAACUACGAAAGGGAUGCAUAUGGGAUCGUAGCCUUUUGGUUGCGA